UCAGACUGAAAAUGGCCUCAGGCGUGUUGGUGGUCUGAGGCCAGACAACUGAGCCCACAUAAACUCGGUACGUUAAGCUUAUCACCUGCUCGACCCGUCGGCACGGCGAUAAAACCCACGUACCAACAAAU